rnacentral:rRNA from 1 species
ACGGGUGAGUAAAGCAUAGGAAUCUGCCCUGUAGAGGGGGAUAACUUGGGGAAACCUGAGCUAAUACCGCAUAUCUUCUGAGGAAGAAAGUUAGGGGAAACUCUGACGCUAUAGGAUGAGCCUAUGUCUGAUUAGCUAGUUGGUUAGGUAAAGGCUGACCAAGGCGAAGAUCGGUAACUGGUCUGAGAGGACGGACAGUCACACUGGGACUGAGACACGGCCCAGACUCCUACGGGAGGCAGCAGUGGGGAAUAUUGGACAAUGGGGGCAACCCUGAUCCAGCGAUGCCGCGUGUGUGAAGAAGGCCUGCGGGUUGUAAAGCACUUUUAUUGGGGAAGAGGGUAAUGCGAAUGAAUAGUUUGUGUUAUUGACGGUACCCAAGGAAUAAGCACCGGCUAACUCUGUGCCAGCAGCCGCGGUAAUACAGAGGGUGCGAGCGUUAAUCGGAAUUACUGGGCGUAAAGGGCGCGUAGGCGGGCUGAUAAGUCAGAUGUGAAAGUCCUGGGCUUAACCUGGGGAUUGCAUUUGAAACUGUUGGUCUGGAGUGAAGUAGAGGGUGGCGGAAUUUCCGGU